GGUGAACGCUGGCGGUAGGCCUAACACAUGCAAGUCGAACGGCAGCACAGUAAGAGCUCGCCCUUACGGGUGGCGAGUGGCGGACGGGUGAGGAAUACAUCGGAAUCUACUUUUUCGUGGGGGAUAACGUAGGGAAACUUACGCUAAUACCGCAUACGACCUACGGGAGAAAGCAGGGGAGCUUCGGACCUUGCGCGAUUCAAUGAGCCGAUGUCGGAUUAGCUAGUUGGCGGGGUAAAGGCACACCAAGGCGACGAUCCGUAGCUGGUCUGAGAGGAUGAUCAGCCACACUGGAACUGAGACACGGUCCAGACUCCUACGGGAGGCAGCAGUAGGGAAUAUUGGACAAUGGGCGCAAGCCUGAUCCAGCCAUACCGCGUGGGUGAAGAAGGCCUUCGGGUUGUAAAGCCCUUUUGUUGGGAAAGAAAAGCAGCGGAUUAAUACCCCGCUGUUCUGACGGUACCCAAAGAAUAAGCACCGGCUAACUUCGUG
rnacentral:rRNA from 1 species